CCUAGAGUACAGAGGGAGGGCUCAAUUCCUUAUUUGCGCCUAGGGAGAAGUCCCCGGACCGUGGGUGGAGAGUGCCACAUGCGCACCCAAGUAGCCCUCCCUCUCCCCUGCUUUUCACUGUCAAUCUGCCAAGAAGCUAGCGAGGUUACAGAAGCCAGGGGGUGGAUACGGUGGUGCAGCCAAGAGGGGUUUUAUCUGCUCUUGACUUCCUUCUCAAUGAGGUUGGAGUGGGGAGCAGGGGAGCACUUGCUCUUGAUCAU
rnacentral:sRNA from 1 species